rnacentral:lncRNA from 10 species
GUGGAAUUAUGUUCCCGGGGGAUUAUGGCUGCCUCUGCUGAGUCAUAAAUGUUGCCAGGGAAGUAGAGGAAAGCCAGCAGUCACAGGCCUCACCCCACUCCCAUGCAGCCUGCAUUCUUAAAGGUCAGUCUCACUCCCACUGUGCCACCCCAACAGCAUUGAGUGUAUUUGCAGGAAGCUGGUGGCCAGGGCUGAGAACUUGCCCCAGACUAUGAGCCACUGCAUUGAGAAAGCAAGCAGACUUGCAGUUUUUCAGUGUCUCAGGGAGCCUGCAGCAGCGAUCCAGUUCCCUCAAAGGGUUUGUACUGAGGUCGUGGGGCAGACACAAGCAGCUUGUGCAAUCCCUGCAGUGCUGGAUGAAAAUCAGCACGCGGCAAAUAGGACCUCCGUCCACACAGCCAGGUGUAUGCAAAUGCUUCCUUACCAUUGUUCAAUUCAAGGUAAGUUCUGUUCUGAGUCUGAUUCCUUUCUGCCUUUUUUGGCCAAUGCUGAGCUGCAUCCUAUCAGGGUGGGCACUCCCAUGAGACCCCGGCACUGACUGGGGGCCGGGAGACGCGGUCUGUCUUCAUGUAUUGCCACCAUGCAGGGUUUGCUGAGGUGGCCAACCUCCCACUGGAAAUUACAAUGAGAUGCCCCUGACUCCAGUCUGUGUGGCCACCAAGCACAUGCAGACCCUCCUUUACUUCCCUUCCUUGUGUCUUGCUGGAGACAUGGAAUCCACCCUGAUGCUUUCAAGCCACCCUGGGCCAUGGAGG